rnacentral:rRNA from 1 species
UACGUAGGGUGCGAGCGUUGUCCGGAAUUACUGGGCGUAAAGAGCUCGUAGGUGGUUUGUCGCGUUGUUCGUGAAAUCUCACGGCUUAACUGUGAGCGUGCGGGCGAUACGGGCAGACUAGAGUACUGCAGGGGAGACUGGAAUUCCUGGUGUAGCGGUGAAAUGCGCAGAUAUCAGGAGGAACACCGGUGGCGAAGGCGGGUCUCUGGGCCAAAACUGACGCUGAGGAGCGAAAGCGUGGGGAGCGAACAGG